rnacentral:rRNA from 1 species
GCUACGAUGGGUAGGGGUUCUUAGUGGAAGGUCCCCCACACUGGCACUGAGAUACGGGCCAGACUCCUACGGGAGGCAGCAGUAGGGAAUAUUGGUCAAUGGGCGCAAGCCUGAACCAGCCAUGCCGCGUGCAGGAUGAAAACUCUCUGAGUUGUAAACUGCUUUUGUACAGGAGCAAAAAAGUCCCUGCGGGGAUUCUUGAGAGUACUGUAAGAAUAAGCACCGGCUAAUUCCGUGCCAGCAGCCGCGGUAAUACGGAAGGUGCAAGCGUUAUCCGGUUUUAUUGGGUUUAAAGGGUGCGUAGGCGGCUUAUUAAGUCAGUAGUGAAAUCCUAGUGCUUAACGCUAGAACUGCAAUUGAUACUA